rnacentral:lncRNA from 1 species
CAGAUAAAGAUCUAGCCACAAAGAUAAGUAAGUUUGUUUCUAAUCUACUACAUCUUAUAUGUUCAGUGGUACGAAGGGAGCUUCUAUAUAUGCAAAUAUUCUCAAUUGCAACAUAACUAUUCAGUCAAGCUACUGAACUUGCUGACAGGAAAAUGCUCAGGGUUAACAACUUGAAAAUUUUCUAGUUAACUAAAUAAGACAUUCUGAUAGUUUAGAAGUUUUGUUGUUUCAGCCAGACCACAUCCUGUUUGUGUCACUCCUAAGUAUACUAGACAGAAAGGCACGCUCCGCCGCGCCUGGCUAUAGACACAUUCUUCGCGUACAAUUUUAGGUUCGCUUGGGUUAUGCACUAUUUGUGGUAGCGGGGUGGAACCAUCUAUGUGUAGGGAUGCAAGCGGGCACGUAUGCAUCCGUACGUGAAGCAAAAACAUAGCAAUUCUCGUUGCUUUAAUAAAUUACACCUUGAACAUUUUGUGUUCACCUCAGUCCAGACGAUAUAUCUGGCGUGAGCUGGCAUGUGCACAUGAACUACACACAACGCGAGCCACAUGCCACCCCAACGACAUGUGCAUCAGCUGCCUCGCAGCCACCAGCAAGGCAGUGGCGGUAGUUAAAAAAAGACAACAAAAAAGGUAAGACGACCCACUUGUCAGCCACUGUAUAUUUGCAGAUGGCCUGAGCUUUCGCCAAGGUAGCCACGGUUAAACUUGUAGGGGAUUCUCGAGUUACACUAAGAACAGAAGUACACCAGUACCAGUUUGUUUAGGCCACUACAACACUCCGGCCAUAGCGGGUGGAUAGGAUACAACAUCUCCAGCGUUGAUCGCAGUUUCAACUAGCAGUUCAGUUACCUCGUAAUAGUUAUGGUGUAGUAAGAUUUGGGUUAAACAUUUGUUUGGUACACAUUUUUGAGUUAGUCUCCAAAUAGAAGUUGUUGUGUACAUCUUAAGCUUUCCAGAGAGUAUUUAUUUGUGGUUUUUUACUGGGUAGUUUGAGAGCAGCGAUCUCCUCAAGCUUGCUGUCCAAAAAUUAGUAACUCUAUUCAGACAUGAUAUAGCAAAAGAAGCAAUGCAUUGAUACUUCCCCUGUUCCUUUCAUGUUUGCUUGCUAUCUACUACAUAUUAAACCGUCCAAAAUAGGAUCACCAGUCAUGUCAGGAAUGACAUUGUAUUAUUACCAUACUUCAACUACUGAUUGUUGGUAAUUCUGACAGCUCUAUUAUUUGCAUUGCUAAUAUAUUCUGGUAUAUAUUUCAGAUCCUAUGCUACUUAUUUACAUCACAAACUAAUUUGUCAUUUUAAUGUUUUAUAUGCUGGCAUAUGUUUCAGCUUACAUCCAGAUUUGUUUUGCCUUAUGCCUCUGUUUUCGAGUCGUUCGACUAGUCGCGACUAGUCGACGACUAGUCGAUGAGUCGCUGCUCCAGGUUCGACUCAAACUCUCGACUCGACUCCUGGCAUGAGUCGAGCGACUCGAGCGACUAGUCUCGACUAGUCACGACUAGUCGCUCUUUCUGGGUCGAGCGACUCACUUAAAUUGAGCCCAACUGUUAUAUGGGCCGGCCCAUCUCCCCUGGAAACGUAGAUCGAUCAUCCCCCACCCCCUCCCCCGAUCGAACCCUCUCCAGCCGCCACCCCUGGUUGCCCCUGCUGCUGUUCUGCUCGUCCCCUCCUAUGGUGUGCUCCUCCCCUCCUCCCCUGCUACUGUGCUCCUCCCCUCCCCUGGUUGUUGUUCCUGUUGUUGUGCUCCUCCCCUCCUCCCCUGGUUGAUGUGGCUGCUGGUGUGCCCCUCUCCUUGUUGCUGCUGCUGCUGUUGAGCACUUGUGCUCCUCCCCUGGCUGUUGCUUAACUCAGGUCGACUCGUCGCCAUGUCGACUCAUCGACCAUGAGUCUAGACUAGUCUAGACUAGUCUAGAGUCGCCCCCCUGAGCGACUCAUCGACUCAUCGACUCGAAAACAUUGCCUUAUGCAGAAACUACUGGAUACUUUACAUCAAGAUUGACCAAGUAUGUCCCUUGUUGCUUCAGACAUUAGUUAUCUUCCUGUUGUUAUUAUACCAGCUCCAUUGGUUUCUUAAAAGGUGACAUGCCCUGAUGGAUUUAUUACUCUGUAGAGUGUGUAAAAGUUUUUCAUUUUAUGCCUAUUUGGUGCUUUUAUCCGAACAGGCAGUAAUUUCUUUUGCAGGGGCAAAUGGCAGAAAAUAGCAUGGUUGACACCUUUUGUUCAUACAGAGGUUGAUGUUGGUUUGGUGAUUGAAGAGUUGGUCUCUUCCAUAAUAUUUUGUAGUGGUCAAGUGAUCAGACAUUUGGUCUGUUAGGAUCUUAGCCAUCAAAUUUUGCAACUUGUCUCUGUAUGUCAAUUUAUGUAUCUCCUUGAUGGUUGUAGCUAACUUGAGCGAAGAAAACAAAUGAAUCUUUAUAUAUGUUAAUGUAUGAUAUGGAUGAAUGACAUUUUUCUAUGAAUAGGAGUGCAAUUGUUUGUAUAUGCAUUGUGUACCGAACAUGAAUGAAAUAUUAUGAAUGUGAUUUAAUG